rnacentral:rRNA from 1 species
UACGUAGGGGGCUAGCGUUGUCCGGAUUUAUUGGGCGUAAAGAGCGUGUAGGCGGCCAGGUAGGUCUGGUGUGAAAACUCGAGGCUUAACCUCGAGAUGUCAUCGGAAACCAUCUGGCUAGAGUCCGGAUGAGGAGAGUGGAAUUCCUGGUGUAGCGGUGAAAUGCGCAGAUAUCAGGAAGAACACCAAUGGCGAAAGCAGCUCUCUGGGACGGUACUGACGCUGAGACGCGAAAGCGUGGGGAGCGAACAGG